ACUCUAAUGACGCAGAAGAUGAGCUGAGGGAAUCCGUCAUUAAAAUUGGAGACACACUUGCGUCCAGAGGACAAAUAUACCCAGCUCAUGUCUGUUAUGUGGUGGCACAGGUUGAGCUGGACUCGUACAAUGACAGAACCAGUUUCACUCUGAUUGGAUCUGGAGGGUAUGUUGUGUUCAUGUGUGUGUGCAUGUGUGGGAUUAUUUUUAUCACUUGCUACUGACACACUUGUCUCUUUUUAAAUUUUUAUUUAUUUAUUGUUUAUCUUUUGACCAGUUUGCCAUUUAGGAAGUCAGCUAUGAGGGAAGCCUUCGAACGAACUGAAGUGUAUGAGUAUGCCCUCUGGUUGAACUCUGGGUUCACACAGCCAAACUUUCAGGUUGAAAUCUCUUUUUUUUUAUUAAUGAUAUGGUCUCUAAUUGGUCAAAUUGUAGUGACAGCUUAUACUAAGAAUGAACGACUCUUGCUGUCUUAGAUUGUCAAGCUACUUCACGCCGGAAGGCUAGCUGAUUCUGGACAUUCUGCUCAAGCCCGGAACUACUGCAGGACCAUUGCUACGGCAGUAGCCACCUUCCCCAGCAACAUCACAGUCAUCCUCAUGAGCCGUCUUAUUAGGCUCUCUGAGGAACUAUACAGAGGGAAGGCCAAAGAACCCAACUGGCUGGUAAAUCUUCGCUACCUGUGCCUACACAAGGUGUGCAUAUAAAAACGUAUAAACAAGCCUUUACUUUAGUCUUAAAGAUUACUAAAUGCUGAGA